UACGGAGGGUGCAAGCGUUAAUCGGAAUUACUGGGCGUAAAGCGUGCGCAGGCGGUUUGUUAAGUCUGCUGUGAAAUCCCCGAGCUCAACUUGGGAAUUGCAGUGGAUACUGGCAGGCCGGAGUAUGGUAGAGGAAGGUGGAAUUCCUGGUGUAGCGGUGAAAUGCGCAGAUAUCAGGAAGAACACCCGUGGCUAAGGCGGCUCUCUAGUACGGUACUGACGCUGAGACGCGAAAGCGUGGGGAGCGAACAGG
rnacentral:rRNA from 1 species